CAUUUAUACUUUUUCUCUUUCACCUCUUCUGUCUUCUUCCCAUCCUUGAUCUCCGCUACCCAUUUGUACUUCCUCUCAACCGGCCCCUUGAUCUCCGCAGUCCACGUGUACUUCCUGUCCCCUCCGGAGUUCCUCCCGUUAACGAGACGGUCGAAUUUAGACUCCAGCGCCGUAACUCGGUCGCACAAGGUUUGAAUAGAAAACUCAGGUUCGACUCGGCGUUGUACCCUCUUGUACGAACGAAACGACGGCGUUCUCUCGAUUUGGACCAGAUCGGUGACGUUGUCGUAGAUAUCGAAGGGGCUUAAGCAAGGGAAAGGACUCAGUAGGUCGAGGGCGGAGCUAAGUUCAUGUUCUGCUUCAAAAAAUGAGGGAAAAGCUAAGGGCUUGUGAGCGAG
rnacentral:lncRNA from 1 species